UAGUUGGUGGGGUAAAGGCCUACCAAGGCGACGAUCAGUAGCGGGUCUGAGAGGAUGAUCCGCCACACUGGAACUGAGACACGGUCCAGACUCCUACGGGAGGCAGCAGUGGGGAAUUUUGGACAAUGGGGGCAACCCUGAUCCAGCCAUUCCGCGUGAGUGAAGAAGGCCUUCGGGUUGUAAAGCUCUUUCAGCUGGAACGAAACGGUACAUCCUAAUACGGUGUGCUAAUGACGGUACCAGCAGAAGAAGCACCGGCUAACUACGUGCCAGCAGCCGCGGUAAUACGUAGGGUGCGAGCGUUAAUCGGAAUUACUGGGCGUAAAGCGUGCGCAGGCGGAUUGUUAAGCAAGAUGUGAAAUCCCCGGGCUUAACCUGGGAAUGGCAUUUUGAACUGGCAGUCUAGAGUGUGUCAGAGGGGGGUGGAAUUCCACGUGUAGCAGUGAAAUGCGUAGAGAUGUGGAGGAACACCAAUGGCGAAGGCAGCCCCCUGGGAUAACACUGACGCUCAUGUACGAAAGCGUGGGUAGCAAACAGGAUUAGAUACCCUGGUAGUCCACGCCCUAAACGAUGUCAACUGGUUGUUGGGGGAGUGAAAUCCCUUAGUAACGAAGCUAACGCGUGAAGUUGACCGCCUGGGGAGUACGGUCGCAAGAUUAAAACUCAAAGGAAUUGACGGGGACCCACACAAGCGGUGGAUGAUGUGGAUUAAUUCGAUGCAACGCGAAAAACCUUACCUACCCUUGACAUGUCCAGAACCCUGCAGAGAUGCGGGGGUGCCCGAAAGGGAAUUGGAACACAGGUGCUGCAUGGCUGUCGUCAGCUCGUGUCGUGAGAUGUUGGGUUAAGUCCCGCAACGAGCGCAACCCUUAUCAUUAGUUGCUACGCAAGGGCACUCUAAUGAGACUGCCGG
rnacentral:rRNA from 1 species